GACCNNGUAGCUCAGUUGGUUAGAGCAUUCGGCUCAUACCCGGAGUGUCGAGGGUUCGACUCCCCCCGCCGCCACCA
rnacentral:tRNA from 1 species